rnacentral:rRNA from 1 species
GACCCGUGAUCCGGGUUGCGGACAGUGUCUGGUGGGUAGUUUGACUGGGGCGGUCUCCUCCUAAAGAGUAACGGAGGAGCACGAAGGUUGGCUAAUCCUGGUCGGACAUCAGGAGGUUAGUGCAAUGGCAUAAGCCAGCUUGACUGCGAGCGUGACGGCGCGAGCAGGUGCGAAAGCAGGUCAUAGUGAUCCGGUGGUUCUGAAUGGAAGGGCCAUCGCUCAACGGAUAAAAGGUACUCCGGGGAUAACAGGCUGAUACCGCCCAAGAGUUCAUAUCGACGGCGGUGUUUGGCACCUCGAUGUCGGCUCAUCACAUCCUGGGGCUGAAGUAGGUCCCAAGGGUAUGGCUGUUCGCCAUUUAAAGUGGUACGCGAGCUGGGUUUAGAACGUCGUGAGACAGUUCGGUCCCUAUCUGCCGUGGGCGCUGGAGAACUGAGGGGGGCUGCUCCUAGUACGAGAGGACCGGAGUGGACGCAUCACUGGUGUUCGGGUUGUCAUGCCAAUG